rnacentral:rRNA from 1 species
UACAGAGGUCUCAAGCGUUGUUCGGAUUCAUUGGGCGUAAAGGGUGCGUAGGUGGCGCUGGAAGUCGGGUGUGAAAUUUCGGAGCUUAACUCCGAAACUGCAUUCGAUACUGCGGUGCUUGAGGACUGGAGAGGAGACUGGAAUUCAUGGUGUAGCAGUGAAAUGCGUAGAGAUCAGGAGGAACACCAAUGGCGAAGGCAGCUCGCUGGGACGUGACUGACGCUGAGACGCGAAAGCGUGGGGAGCAAACAGG